rnacentral:rRNA from 1 species
CCUACGGGUGGCAGCAGUGAGGAAUAUUGGUCAAUGGGCGAGAGUCUGAACCAGCCAAGUAGCGUGAAGGAUGACUGCCCUAUGGGUUGUAAACUUCUUUUAUAUGGGAAUAAAAUGUUCCACGUGUGGGAUUUUGUAUGUACCAUAUGAAUAAGGAUCGGCUAACUCCGUGCCAGCAGCCGCGGUAAUACGGAGGACUCGAGCGUUAUCCGGAUUUAUUGGGUUUAAAGGGUGCGUAGGUGGAUUGGUAAGUCGGUUGUGAAAGUGUGGGGCUCAACCGUAAAAUUGCAGUUGAAACUGGCAGUCUUGAGUACAGUAGAGGUGAGCGGAAUUCGUGGUGUAGCGGUGAAAUGCGUAGAUAUCACGAAGAACUCCGGUUGCGAAGGCAGCUCCCUGGACUGCAACUGACACUGAGGCUCGAAAGUGUGGGUAUCAAACAGGAUUAGAUACCCUUGUAGUC